rnacentral:rRNA from 1 species
UAGGGAAUCUUCCACAAUGGACGCAAGUCUGAUGGAGCAACGCCGCGUGAGUGAAGAAGGCUUUCGGGUCGUAAAACUCUGUUAUUGAAGAAGAACGUGUGUGACAGUAACUGGUCAUGCAGUGACGGUAUUCAAUCAGAAAGUCACGGCUAACUACGUGCCAGCAGCCGCGGUAAUACGUAGGUGGCAAGCGUUGUCCGGAUUUAUUGGGCGUAAAGCGAGUGCAGGCGGUCUUUUAAGUCUGAUGUGAAAGCCUUCGGCUUAACCGAAGAAGGGCAUCGGAAACUGGGAGACUUGAGUGCAGAAGGA